GAAGCCUUAGGCCGAGGGCACGCCUGCCUGGGUGUCG
rnacentral:rRNA from 1 species